UGGGGAAUAUUGCACAAUGGGCGCAAGCCUGAUGCAGCCAUGCCGCGUGUAUGAAGAAGGCCUUCGGGUUGUAAAGUACUUUCAGUCGGGAGGAAGGUGUCAAGGUUAAUAACCUUGGCAAUUGACGUUACCGACAGAAGAAGCACUGGCUAACUCCGUGCCAGCAGCCGCGGUAAUACGGAGGGUGCAAGCGUUAAUCGGAAUUACUGGGCGUAAAGCGCACGCAGGCGGUUGAUUGAGUCAGAUGUGAAAUCCCCGGGCUUAACCCGGGAAUUGCAUCUGAUACUGGUCAGCUAGAGUCUUGUAGAGGGGGGUAGAAUUCCAUGUGUAGCGGUGAAAUGCGUAGAGAUGUGGAGGAAUACCGGUGGCGAAGGCGGCCCCCUGGACAAAGACUGACGCUCAGGUGCGAAAGCGUGGGGAGCAAACAGG
rnacentral:rRNA from 1 species